UAGGUUUUGCCCUAGCUCGCUAGCCGCUCCCAUCCCAGAUCUGAAAUCAAUUUCUCAUCCUCUUCUUUCUUCUUGCUUCUCGAUCUCGACUCUCGCUCACUUACUGAACUGUCGACUGUCGUCUCCGGGCUCCGGCAUCCGUGGCUCCGCCUCUCUCCGUUACAUCCUCUCCGGCCUCCGCCUCCGGCCUCUCUCCGUCUCAAUCUCUGCUCCAGCCUCUGCUGGUUAGUGGCUUCCCCUCCUUUCUCGACUGGAUUAGUAUCUAGUUUGGUAUUUCACCACUUGUUUGCUAGGUGGGUUAUUAUUGAGGAUGGUUUUUUGCUCAUUUUGUGGUUAUAUACAGUUUUUUUGCUAUGAGAUUAAUCUAAUUCUGCCAUUUUUUAAAAUAGAAAUUUAAUUAUGUCAUGACUCGAUAUAUAAGUUAUGUUCAUCCCUAAUUAUGGAAUAUGGAUCACAACUUAUUCCUCCUCCUGUCCCUUCAAUGUGUAAAAUUAUGGUUCUGCUGUAUAUGAGAUGAGCUCCACUCAAGUUCUGUUUACUUUCUAGAUACUGUAAUCACUUGCUCCACUUCGGAUGGUUGAUUUUGUAAAGCUUAUAUAAGCAAUGUUUUUCCAAAAAAUUAAGUUAUUGAAAUUGCAUAGAUUGGGAUCAUCUCUAGAAGACAUUGUGGAAUGUAUAUUUUCCAUUUUCUGUGUAACAUAUAUUUUUAGUAGAUUAUAUAUCUAGAUCUCUCCUUUCCAGUGAAUGUUGAAAGAUACAUGAACUUAAUUAGUGAUGGUCUUCUUGAUAGAGUGUGUUCCUGAUUGCCUUUUAUGUGUUAGUAUCUUGUUUGAACUUUGAGGGUCAUUAGCCCAGCACUGUUAUUAUCUGCUGGAAAGCACACUUAUUGUUGUUCUCAUUUAGAAUUUGCUUGAAAUAGGUAUUGGAUUCAUCACUGUCUCCAUUAGUCAGUCUUGUAUGAUCAAUACUAGUAAAGUUACAAAUUAAACAUAAAGAUAUAUAGUAGUAAGUUACUAAAACAUAAAUACUUGUUUUGCUCUUCCAAGUGAAUUUGUUCCUCAAAAUAUUAUUUCUAUCCACCAUUAAUUUUGUAUACAUUUCAGUUCCUCAAAUAUGAAUCUGUAGAUUCUGUACAUUUGAAACACCAAUAUCAUGUUUUUUUCUCUUGAUGAAUCCUAUCAUACUUGUUAUUUUUAAGUCCUUAUCCACUAGAAUAUCAUGUUUUUUCUGUUGAUGAAUCUUUUUUACCUGCCUUUUUAUUUCAAUUUCAUAUAUUAGUUGGCAUUCAUUCAUAAUUUUCUGUUACUGCAAAAUAUAAAAUGUGCUGACCCAAUCUAGCAUGGCCCCUUUUUCUGUUACAUAUUGUGUUCUUUAGUUGUGUUUUUCUGCAGUUAGUGAUGUGGUGUAGUUGUCAUACCUUUUAAGUUUCAAUGAUAAACCAACUGUGUCUGUGUUAAUGACAGUUGAUGUCUGCUGAAGUGCUGGUCUGCUGCUGUCUACUGGUAAUCUGGUAUGCUGCUAGUUGUUGCUAGUUGCUGCUGCCUGCCUGCUACUCUGUCUCUGCUAGUAGAUUAAUUUCAUUUUGACUUGUUGUUGCUUUGUUAAGUCAUAAAUUUGUUAAGUAGAUUAAUUUCAUUUUGUCUGCCGGACUGGACAGUUAAUUUUUGUUGGCUUGUUGUUGCUGACUUGCUGUAUUUUGGACAGUUAAUUUGGCUUGCUUUGUUAAGUCAUAAAUUUCAUGUUGGCUUGUUGUUGCUGCUGGACAAUUAAGUUAAUAGUUGGCAAUUACUGGACAGUUGAUUUGUUAAACAGGUAACAGGUUAUGUUGGAUGAUAUUUCGGUUAGUACCAGAAUAUCCGAAAUUACAAUUCUGUAAUUCGGUUAUUUUCAAAUUUCGGUUAAC
rnacentral:lncRNA from 1 species